AUUCCGUGUUGAGGACACUUCCUUUGUAAUCCUUUGAAUCUUGUCCAAGCCUCGUACAAAGAUUCACUUUCUUUUUGUUUCAAAAGCUGUGAUCUCCACCUUGAGCCU